ensembl:lncRNA
UGUGUGUGUGUGAGAGAGAGAAAAAGAAUGGGUCGAGGUGGCAGCUAAAGAACUGAAACACAUACUCUGACGCGUUAAAUCCUGCUCUGUUAAAACCGAGAUCACUUCACGAACCUUUUAAACAACCCGGAAUCACCAGACCGGAAGUGAGGAUCUCUGUGGAAACUGGUAGGUAAGUAAAUAAAAUAAUAACAAUACCAAUCCAAAUCAACUCCCCUGUGCUGGUUUAUUUAGCUCAUAGCGCUUAGUGAUAAUAACGCGUGGUUUAUAACUCCAUAUAAAUGAUGUAUCAUGUUCUAACCUUUAGUUUGGGUUAGUGAAGAGUAAUAAAAGUGUGAGUAUUGAUGGAAUUGAAUAUACACCACAAGACAGGAACACAAUUACACCGUAAGACACAACAACCAGAACAAAAGAAAAAGAGAACAUGAAACAAAAACCAAGUCCACAAGGAGGAAGAAGCAAGAGAUGAAAAACAAACAUGUUUCAUACAGGGAUUAAAUAAUAAUUUAUUUAUUUAAAAAGUAUCAUUAUGUGGAAAGUUAAAUUGCUUUGGUUGUGUAGGAGCUCGCUCGUUUUCGGCUUUCUGAAAAGUGUCUAAAAAUAUGUAAAAGCCACACCCCCAAAAUUUACCUGCGGUUAGGGUUAGGGUUUUCAGGAAGAGCGACGGGUUUAACCGCAGUUAAAGUUUCUGCCGUCCUCUCUGAGGGGUACACCUCUCUACCUGCGUGAAGUUCACCCCACCCAAUGCAAAACGUCGGCAAAAUAGACUCAAUCGUUUGUGCUGGUUUGUGCUGCUAAAAAUUCCGUUUGUCCUGCUUCGGUUUUUAAAAUAUUAAACAUUCAUUUAUAUGCGAUGACGUCACCAGCCCCCCCACAUGCUCCAAAUUUACCCCAAAUAGGCUCAAUCGUUUGUGCCGCUAAAAGCUUCGUUUUUGCGACUGUCUUCUCUUUUUUUAAUUGUGUGUUUGUGUGUGUAUAUGUGUGUAUAUAUAACAACGCCGUUGAAGUACAUGGGGGAAAAAUUCAAACGGCAAACCAAAUCACAUUAAAUAGUCUUAAUUGUUACCUAUGCACUGCGCGUUUUCAAAUUUUAAGGGACACAGCGGAUCACAGGAUGUGUGAAAUGUAACCCGAACUCCAAGGUAAGUGUUUUUACUUGUUACUGUAUCUUAUGUGAGUAACAGUAGUAAUAUUAACAUUGUCAUAAAUAAAUACACAUGCCAUAAUCUGUUUCCUGUAGUGCUGUGUUUAUACAUAACUAAGCCAUGUAUGUGGAAACUCAUGACUCAAUGAAUUAAGAAUUAAGCCGAUAUGAUUUUACUUGUGAAACUGAAUUACUGUGUACUAUUGAACAUCCAUUAACACAAAUAAUGGACCUUUUUAAAAACUUAAACUUAAAAACACUUAAUACUUACAAGCCACGAUCUGUCUUCAAACCAAGACUUGAGUGCAAACACCAUCAAGCCUGACUUCCAGAAAAGCAGAGACUUCUUCUCCCAGCAGGAGUAGGAAAACAAGAUUGUGUGGCCUACAACAAAAAUACUUGAACUUGUGUAAUAAAAUUUAAACAAUGCAAUCACUGCACUACACCUGCACGUAUCCAUUCAGUCAGCCAAUGUGUUAUCGGGUUAAUGUCGUGUCUCUCAGACAGCAUUUGCACCACCGGGACACUUGAACUCUCACCCCCUGCCAGAAUGCCCUGAUAUUAGAAGAUACGGCCAGGCAUGCCAUUUGGUCUCUGUGGUUUCCUCACUACUUAGCCAGUUGCAUCAAAAUUCGCAGUGGGGGUGGGCAAAUUAGGCAGAUGGCUUGGCUCAGGAUCUCCAAAAUCCAUCAGCUUUGUUGCCUCUGAUGCCCUCCAUACAUGGGGUUCCGUUCUACCCUCACACAGUUCUUUGGCUAUCUGCACAUGCGUUACCAGACAUUGCAUUGAGACAUUGGGACAGCAAGUGUGCAGGGAGUCAUCAGUGCUUUUAAUUAAACUGUGUAUUCCCUUUUUUGUGUUUUAGAGAACUUGUUUUUGUAUUGAACUGUUUCAGGCAUAAAUUCAAUCCAUUUCUGAAAUUGAACUUCAAGAUCAAAAGUACAACAAUCUUUUGGGCUGGGGGAAAGGGACCCUGGCUCAAUCAGUGUCCUCACUACUGCCACUUGUUUGAUCACUUUCAUAAAUAAACCCUAAAGCACUCUAGAUGUUGUCUGUUUAAUUUAACAAAAGUAUAUAGAGCCUUUGCAGUGAUCUUGUUUUCUAGUUGCUCACUAAGCUCUGUCCAGAUGCUCUGAUUAGGAGUAGCUAUGUUACCAUUUUGUACUAUGGCCUCUUUUGAUGAAUGGAGGACUGUGAAAAUGGAAUCUCUGUCAACUGCUGGUUUCCUGGGCAUCUGGCACAAGCUAAACAUAAUUACCCACUGAAAUAAUCCUGACUCAAUGUCAUGUACAGUAUAAACUCCUGUAUUACUGUAGUUUAUUGAAUACAAGGAUAAUAUAGUAAUAAUAUAUAAGGAUAAUAUAUCUUAUAAUUUAGGACCAAUAUGGUAAUGUUGACCCUAGAUGCACAACAUAUUCAAAAAACUAACUUGGGUCACAUGUGUAGCUGUAAUUAGCAUUUUAUAGCUACAUUAGGCAUAUUAGUAUUAGCAUUGAGUUUUCUGUUCAAUAAACAUUCACAAUCUUAGCUCUCUUGAAUGUUGUACCAUUAUGCUUGAUUAAUAAUAUUGUAACUGACAGUGUUAAAACAUUGUUCUUACACUUUCCAGAAUUUUGAUUUAGUAACUUAUGUUGACUUUUCCUAUACUAACUUAACACUAAUUUCCACCAGAGCAUCUUGAAUAGAAGUGUCACUUAAACCUAGUGGUGGCAGUGAAGUGUAGCAGAUGAUUCUCCUUGUAAAUAAAUAAAAAGUUAAAUCAUGAGAGACCAGUGAAUGAAAUAAAGAUAAUUGUUUAGUGAACAAAUGAUGAGAUGAUUAGUCUUGACAAAGUCUUCGGCGCUUUGACUCUAAAAGUUUGCUUACACCGAGGAGAUUUGCGCCUAUAAGUCAAUGUCUAAUAUUUUUAAAAAGGAAGCAGCACAAAAACUUUUAGUGGCACAAAUAAACGAGACUAUUUGGGGUGAAUUUGGAGCAUGUGGGGGGGUUGAGUGACCUCAGAAUGACCAAUAAAUAUUAUUCUAAUAUCUCAAAAACCGAAGCAGCACAAAAAUUCUUACGGCACAAACCAGCACAAAUAAUUGAGAUUAUUUUGAUGACGUUUUGCAUUGGGUGGGUGACCAAGUUUGUCGCGUCAGGCUCCCUUAAAUAGCACCAAGCUCUCCAUGCUCUUCAGCAAGAACAACUUUAUCCAGCACAACACGUGAAGAAACAAGUAAUUUCGGGGUCAUAGGUUUCAUUUUAAAAUUUUAUUUUCUUCGGUUGGCUGACAUUAGACCCAUUUUCUAAUUUCUUAUUUUUAACUUGAGCAUGAGAUUGAAAGAACAGAAAACAACUUAUUUGUUUUAUCAUUUUGGAUUUGUAAAUAAAUAAUAACAAGCCAUUGUUUCAUUUUAUGAUAUUUGGUUCUUAAUUGAAUGUACAAAGAACGAAUGAUACAUAGAUUAUCUUCCUGUUCCGGUAUUGGUUUAUGUUCGAGGGUGUCUCAUUAUUGGUUCAAGCUGUCUGUACUUAAGGUCGGUUAUGUUGGUUAUUUAAACCCCUCGUGUUGCUGUGCAUUUCGCGCAGUAUUAUCCAUAUACUUGAAAGUGAUAGUGAAUGCGUUACGUAUGCUAAGCGGUCUUAUUUCCAUGUACGGCUCUCGUUCCAUGCCUAGACUUUAGUUCUAUGUUUUACCUAGUUAAUCUUGUCCAGUAUAGACCGUGUUUCCUGUGUUUUGUCUGCUGUGUAAAAAUAAAGAUGUUGAUCUGCACCUGCUUCUGCUCCUGUGUCGUAACAUGAGCACAGACUCACAAGAGGCCAUUUCUUGGGCAAACGUGCAGAGUUUAUUUAAAUUCCGAGAGGGUGUGGGGUGCAAAGGAGGUGCAGUGGGGUGAGGUGCUCGGGCGCUGGUGUCGUCCACGGGGCUGCCGUGCUGGGGGCUUUCCCAGCGGCUGAGAUCCCGUUCUGCACUCAGACGGCGCCGUGGGUGCAGCCUGGGGGCGAAAUCCUCCGUUCCCUCCAAAUCCUCUGCAAGAGCCACAAAACAAAUGAUCAUGCAUACCUCGGGGGCUCUCUCUCCCUUUGCUGGCGGAGGAUGGCCCUUUUAUUCUCUCCCGUCGGCUGCUGGAUGGUGGAGAGCGGUUGCGUUGAUCAUCGGCCGCCAGCCGUGUGUGUGUCGGCGGCCCCGCCCUGCAGCCACGCGCUCUCCGGCUGUCCAAAACAUUGGUGGUGCUGAAGCAGAGAUGUCUCUUCAGCACCAUAGCGGCAGUCGCGGGAGGAGCGCUCUUUCCCUCUUGUGCCAGCCGCAGGCCUGUCGACACACCAUAUUGAAUUAGUCUUUAUUAAAUGUUCUCUAAGUCAUUUUAUUCUCAAUGCACCAAGAAGAGAUUCAAAAUCAGUGGCUUUCAAGCCUCCAUUUUCAUACUCUUUAUCCUCAUGGAAUUUAUGCAAAUAGUAUGUUUUUAUUUUUCCGUACUUUUGGGGCACAUACACAAGGUUUGUGAGAAAUAUCUAAGUUGGAAUAUUCCUUCAGUUUUAGUCAAGAGGAUUCUGCCCAAAAUAGAUGAGUCUCUAGAUAACCAAUGAUUUUAAGGAUUUUUUUUUUUCAUUCCUUCAAUUUGAGAUUUGAAUUUUGCGUGUUCUCUAUUAGCACAAUUCUUGGUAAUCAUAACCCCUAGGUACUUAACCUCCUCUUUUA